rnacentral:rRNA from 1 species
UGGUCCUACGGGAGGCAGCAGUGGGGGAUAUUGCACAAUGGGGGGAACCCUGAUGCAGCGACGCCGCGUGGGUGAAGAAGUAUUUCGGUAUGUAAAGCCCUAUCGGCAGGGAAGAAUUUAGACGGUACCUGACUAAGAAGCCCCGGCUAACUACGUGCCAGCCGCCGCGGUAAUACGUAGGGGGGAAGCGUUAUCCGGAUUCACUGGGGGUAAAGGGAGGGGAGACGGCCA